GCCCCCAGCCCUUCUUCCUCCUCCUACACAGCCGCCAUGGGAGCCCCAAAGUAGAAGAAGGAGCUGCUUCAAAAAAGAAGAUCUAAGGGUAGGAUGGUCAGAGCCAUACAAGGCAGUAACAUCAAGUAGAUUUAUUGCUCAAGGAAAAUGGAGCAGUGUUAUCAAGCAUUGCUAAACAGAAUUACUGUACACACGACAGUUGCUGGCCGAACUCUGGACGAUUGAAGAAUUGAAUGGUGCUGUUUACCUUUGCUCUACGCAUCGAUGGCUUGAUGCGCUGCAUCAUCUGAAGAUCGUCCAGAACCCGUCGGCUGUGUAGUAGCGCUCUUGCUAAAUGUCUUCUUAAGUGGAAAAGAUCUCAAGCCCUACUUUAAAGAUAAGCUUUUCCACUUUGUUGUAUCAAGUAAUUUUACUUCCCUGUAUAUUAAUUAUUGUGUAUUGAACGGAAUCUGAGUAAUCCUUUUUUACAAAACAGCAUAUAUACACUUGUGUGGUUGUAUGAGAUUAAUGGAGCAAGAACGGCAUGCAGUAUUGUCUUCGUCUCAUCCACUAGCAGAAGAUUUCUAUUUGGAAAUGCUAAUUGAAAAAAGAGAAAAAGCUGGCCAGUGUCGUCCCGAUUGCCAAAUGUGUGGUCAGAUUUUCUAUUUGCAGUCAGUAAUGAGAAAGCUGAGUAAGGACUAAGGAGAACAAAAAAUCUUCCUGCAAGGUCAAGAUGGUGAAGAGAAGGUUUGGCUUGGACGAACAGUAUAUGUAAUCUUUAAGGAGACAAGUUCUUAUAUUGCCUCAAAUGGCAAGAGAUGUGGAAUUCCAUUGAUUUUUGCUCGAAUAGUGUAUAGAAAUGGGUUCUUUGCAAGAAAGAAUUGCUUCUACUAACAAGGCGGACGGAAACCAUAUGUUUGAUUGUGCUCGAUGCCUACCUAUCAACAAUAUAACAUCGUUUGAUCAAUGUCUAGGAACUAUUUUUUGCGGGACAUAGCAAUGAAUUGGAUCUUGGACAUAAUUUAAAUAAA